UUAAAACCAAAAAAAAAUGAAUUU
rnacentral:sRNA from 1 species